rnacentral:rRNA from 1 species
UACGUAGGUGGCAAGCGUUGUCCGGAUUUACUGGGCGUAAAGAGCGCGCAGGCGGUCGUUCAAGUCGCGUGUGAAAGCCCCCGGCUCAACUGGGGAGGGUCACGCGAUACUGAUCGACUCGAAGGCAGGAGAGGGAAGUGGAAUUCCCGGUGUAGUGGUGAAAUGCGUAGAUAUCGGGAGGAACACCAGUGGCGAAGGCGGCUCACUGGCCCGGUACUGACGCUGAGGUGCGAAAGCGUGGGGAGCAAACAGG